AAGAAAUACCGCUCUGAAAGGGUGUAGAUCCGAAGCCUCUAGAAGGAUAACAAAAGUUCUCCACACUCCACUCCUGCUCAAUACGUUCCCGGCGUACAGAGCGGUAACAUGUCUCUCCAAAUAUCUGAGCUUGGGUAUACGGGGAAACCCAACCCCUUGGGAGGAUGGGUGAUAUGGCUAAAUUGAGAGGA
rnacentral:ribozyme from 1 species